UCGAGGAUCUUCGGCAAUGGGGGCAACCCCGACCGAGCGACGCCGCGUGGGCGACGAAGGCCUUCGGGUUGUAAAGCCCUGUCGAGGGGGAGGAACGCCGCAAGGCUUGACCCAUCCCUGGAGGAAGCACGGGCUAAGUUCGUGCCAGCAGCCGCGGUAAGACGAACCGUGCGAACGUUGUUCGGAAUCACUGGGCUUAAAGGGCGCGUAGGCGGGCUGGCAAGUCCGGGGUGAAAUCCUCCCGCUCAACGGGAGAACGGCCUCGGAUACUGCCGGCCUCGAGGCGGGUAGGGGCGGGCGGAACUCUGGGUGGAGCGGUGAAAUGCGUUGAUAUCCAGAGGAACUCCGGUGGCGAAGGCGGCCCGCUGGACCCGGUCUGACGCUGAGGCGCGAAAGCCAGGGGAGCGAACGG
rnacentral:rRNA from 1 species